ensembl:snRNA U6 U6 spliceosomal RNA
AGCACACAGAGAGAGAUGAGCAUGGUCCCUGUGCAAGGAUGACAUACAAGCUUGUGAAACAUUCCACAUUUUU